rnacentral:rRNA from 1 species
UACGUAGGGUGCGAGCGUUAAUCGGAAUUACUGGGCGUAAAGCGUGCGCAGGCGGCUUUGCAAGACAGAUGUGAAAUCCCCGGGCUCAACCUGGGAACUGCAUUUGUGACUGCAAGGCUAGAGUACGGCAGAGGGGGAUGGAAUUCCGCGUCUAGCAGUGAAAUGCGUAGAUAUGCGGAGGAACACCAAUGGCGAAGGCAAUCCCCUGGGCCUGUACUGACGCUCAUGCACGAAAGCGUGGGGAGCAAACAGG